rnacentral:rRNA from 1 species
UUUGAUCCUGGUUCUUCAGAAUGAACGCUGGCGGCGUGCCUAACACAUGCAAGUCGCACGAGAAAGACUGUUUUCGGACGGUCGAGUAAAGUGGCGCACGGGUGAGUAGCGCGUAGGUAACCUACCCUUGUAUUGGGGAUAACCCCGCGAAAGCGGGGCUAAUACCGGAUACGAUCCUUGCCUGGUGGGGUGAGGGUGAAAGUGGGCCUCUCGAAGAAGCUCACGUACGGGGAUGGGCCUGCGUCCUAUCAGCUAGUUGGUGGGGUAAUGGCCUACCAAGGCGACGACGGGUAGCUGGUCUGAGAGGAUGAUCAGCCACACUGGCACUGGAACACGGGCCAGACUCCUACGGGAGGCAGCAGUGAGGAAUUUGCCGCAAUGGGAGCAAUCCUGACGCAGCAACGCCGCGUGGGUGAAGAAGGCCUUCGGGUCGUAAAGCCCCUGUCAGGUGGGAAGAAAGGCUUGGGGGGCGAACAGCUCCUGGGUUCGACGGUACCACCAGAGGAAGCACCGGCUAACUCCGUGCCAGCAGCCGCGGUAAUACGGAGGGUGCGAGCGUUAUUCGGAAUUACUGGGCGUAAAGCGCGUGUAGGCGGGGAGGUAAGUCUGAUGUGAAAGCCCUGGGCUCAACCUGGGAAGUGCAUUGGAAACUGCCUUUCUUGAGUACUGGAGAGGAAGGGGGAAUUCCCGGUGUAGAGGUGAAAUUCGUAGAGAUCGGGAGGAAUACCAGUGGCGAAGGCGCCCUUCUGGACGGUUACUGACGCUGAGACGCGAAAGCGUGGGGAGCAAACAGGAUUAGAUACCCUGGUAGUCCACGCUGUAAACGAUGAGCACUAGGUGUAGCGGGUACUCAUUCCUGCUGUGCCGCAGCUAACGCGUUAAGUGCUCCGCCUGGGAACUACGGUCGCAAGACUAAAACUCAAAGGAAUUGA